UAUCUUGAGUUUCGAAGGUGUUCUAGACUGAUAUGUAACAAUAACUUAGUUUCUUCCAAGAGGAAUUUAUUGAUGCUGGAAAAGGGUUGUGUUCCUUCUAUUGGGAAUUAUGCACAGAGCAUUGUUUGGGUCUGACUGCUCCAAGGGAUGAUGGAGUUUCGCCCUUUAUGCUCUCCCUGAAGAUAGAGAUAACUGAAUUCCAGAAACCCAUCUGUAACAAGAAUAUUGGAGAGGAAUUUAUUGGUGCCAGAGGAGUCAUGCAAUUCCAUCUUAAGUCUACUGUGAUAGGAGCUUGGUUUUGGUUAGAGCAAUGGUUUUGCUCUGGUGGAUUGAGUUUCUCC
rnacentral:misc_RNA from 1 species